CUUUACUCCCCGUAUCAUGUUUUAGCAUAAGUAAAUAUUUCAUUUAAAUUCCAAAUCCAUCCAAAAUGUCUGAAAUUGUGCAAUUUCUAAGCUACCAAAUAGCCAGAAAUUAUCGGCAGCCACUGAAAAUAUUCAAUCAAUAUCAACCAGCAGUUAGUCGAUUGUCCUUCCAAUUCUCUUAUCUAGGCAGCGUACGUUCCAAUAUUCCCUAUAUGCAAAAGAAACAACGCCAUCAGCUGGACACCAUACGCAAGAGAAUCAUUGAGGAACGCAAAUUAAUCAAGUCAAAAAUUGAACAAAUCGAAAAGCACAUCAAGAAUUUGGAGAGCAUCAGCGGCAAGCCCGAAAAGAAGCCAUAGAGAAAAAGUCCAUCAAGUCAGCACUGAGAAAAUUGUUUUGCUGCCAGCCCGAAAUUCUUUUCAAAUUUCAAAAUUUUAAGCAAUUAUUUUUAAGCAUGUUUGGCACAGUCUUCCGAGCCAUAAGCCUGCUGAGAGCCAGGGAUGUGCUGGCCACAGACGGACUAAGACGCACCUUCCGCGACAAAGGCAGGGGCGAGGAGAAAAAUCAUUUUAAGAGAAUUGAAAUGGAACAACUAAAGAAAAUUCGACAAGAUAAAAUCAAAGAAAUGCUGGCGCAGAUCGAGGACUUAAAGAACGAAAUCAAAGCCGUUGAGCGUGGCUUUUCCGAGGAUUCAAAGUCUGUGAAGAAAUCGCUGCUGAAGCAAAUUGAGCAGCUCGAAAAUUCCAUUGAGAGAAUCAAAAGGUCUAUGGGUGGAGAGGAUUGAUUUACUCGAUGCCAGUCAAAGUAGGCGAUGCCAUUCCAAAACUCAUUCACAUUUCAGUCAGCCUCUGGCAUGCCCAAGUAACUUUCCAAAUUUUUUGAAAUAAAAUUUAGUUUUCAACUCCCGUUUUUUUCAACGAAAUUUUUUAGUUAUGCAAAAAGUACUUUUCCGACUUGCAACUGUGCCUAAAGUUUGGUUUACACAGAGCUGCAAAAAUGCCAGCAAUUUCCUGUACGAAAGAGCCCGAGCUGGCGAGAAUGUGCACUUUCUAAAAAUUCAACGCGAGCAACUGAUGAAGCUGCGCUCCAAGCUGUUGCAGCAACAGAAUGAGGUGCAGUCAGAGCUUGGCAAAGUGGACCAGCAAAUGGUCUCAAUGGCCAAGGUAACAACUGGACAAAGUCGCAAGCAAUAGCAGGGGAAAAGCCUUAUAAACUCAUAUUUAAUCCGAUAUAAAUUACUUUAAGCUCAAC